AGGGAGAGCACAGGGUGUGUGCAUCUGGCACUAGGAGGCAGGGAAAGAUAGCGUGGGCCAGGCUGGCCGGACGUAUGUGUUUGUGUUUGAUUGAAGAGGGAUGUGAGACACAGACCCCUCACUGGCUCAGUUUUACUGGAAUGCUGCCACGAAGAGAUGGACACUCACACAGGCUUUGGACUCAUGCACACUGAUCAGGGCCAGUCGUCUGAGAAUUACUUCGCCCCCGAGAGUCACUUCCUGUCUACCGAGGCAGAGUGUCCCUUUCGCCACGGAAACAACAUUGCAAAUGAUCUACGUGUGAGAAGUGUGAAGCUGCAAUAAUUAUGGAAUUCAGCAGCGUGUGACUGACCACAGUGAGGCCUAGUGUUGACUGGGAUGUCAUCUGUGCUGCCUUUAUGCCAGCUAGCCUCUUUGUCGAUCUCCACCCUGAGUGCCAGUUCCUCUGCGCUCCAGCUGAAGUUCAUGACCUCUCAGAGUUCACGUUGGGACAGGGGCGUUUCUGAGGGAGAGUGAACUCUCGAUCAUGCUCUCACGUGACUCGGAGCAUAUGGUAAGUCACCUCCAGAAUGGAAAAAGCUCUACUUUCAGUUGCUUGCAGUUUCUUCCAACUCAUUUUAUGGAUAGUUUCAGAGCAUGAG
rnacentral:lncRNA from 1 species